UACGUAGGGUGCGAGCGUUAAUCGGAAUUACUGGGCGUAAAGUGUGCGCAGGCGGCAGAGCAAGUCGAGUGUGAAAGCCCCCGGGCUUAACUUGGGAAUUGCGCUCGAAACUACUUUGCUGGAGUGUGGCAGAGGAAGGUGGAAUUCCACGUGUAGCGGUGAAAUGACGUAGAGAUGUGGAGGAACACCAAUGGCGAAGGCAGCCUUCUCGG
rnacentral:rRNA from 1 species